GGGGAAUAUUGGACAAUGGGCGAAAGCCUGAUCCAGCCAUGCCGCGUGUGUGAAGAAGGUCUUCGGAUUGUAAAGCACUUUAAGUUGGGAGGAAGGGCUGCAAGUUAAUACCUUGUAGUUUUGACGUUACCAACAGAAUAAGCACCGGCUAACUUCGUGCCAGCAGCCGCGGUAAUACGAAGGGUGCAAGCGUUAAUCGGAAUUACUGGGCGUAAAGCGCGCGUAGGUGGUUCGUUAAGUUGGAUGUGAAAGCCCCGGGCUCAACCUGGGAACUGCAUCCAAAACUGGCGAGCUAGAGUAUGGCAGAGGGUGGUGGAAUUUCCUGUGUAGCGGUGAAAUGCGUAGAUAUAGGAAGGAACACCAGUGGCGAAGGCGGCUCACUGGCUCGGUACUGACGCUGAGGUGCGAAAGCGUGGGGAGCAAACA
rnacentral:rRNA from 1 species